rnacentral:tRNA from 1 species
GGGCGGUUGGCGGAACGGCAGACGCAGCGGACUUAAAAUCCGCCGGGGCAACCCAUGAGGGUUCGAAUCCCUCACCGCCCACCA